rnacentral:rRNA from 1 species
UACGUAGGGUGCGAGCGUUAAUCGGAAUUACUGGGCGUAAAGGGUGCGCAGGCGGUUUCGUAAGUCUGUCGUGAAAUCCCCGGGCUUAACCUGGGAAUGGCGAUGGAGACUGCGAGGCUAGAGUUUGGCAGAGGGGGGUAGAAUUCCACGUGUAGCAGUGAAAUGCGUAGAGAUGUGGAGGAACACCGAUGGCGAAGGCAGCCCCCUGGGUCAAAACUGACGCUCAUGCACGAAAGCGUGGGGAGCAAACAGG